rnacentral:lncRNA from 1 species
AUAUCUAUAGGGUCCUUACAUGAACGACUUAUAUAGACAUGUUUGGGUCCAUUCCCCCUGAGUCUGUUGAAACUGUGACUCGUUUCAUACUACACUGCUUACAACUCCGAAAUAUUACGAACAAGAUACUUCUAGAAACAGUUGAUGUACUUUAAAAUAACCAGUCUUGGAAUUUAAUGAAAUAUUGGACAAUAAAAAUCUGCAAAUAAUUCUGGACAUUACACCGGUAGCAACAUCAAGGAAACUCUCUCCAGCCAGUGUAGC